AUAUUGACUGUGAUGAGGAAUAGUAAAUGGACACACUUUAUAGAGAGCUGGCGGCAGGUGGAAGCCGGUAAGUGUCAAGUUGAACUCGCCUCGGAGUUUGCUUUAGUGAAGUAAUAGUAGCUAAUGGCCGUGUAUUCGCGUUAAGAAAUGAAGCUGAGUGCUGCGUCACUAAUUUGGGUGGUACCGCGGGAGUAAAAAAUAUCUCUCGUCCCUUCU
rnacentral:ncRNA from 1 species